CCUACGGGAGGCAGCAGUAGGGAAUCUUCCGCAAUGGACGAAAGUCUGACGGAGCAACGCCGCGUGAACGAUGAAGGCCUUCGGGUCGUAAAGUUCUGUUGUUAGGGAAGAACAAGUGUUAGUUGAAUAAGCUGGCACCUUGACGGUACCUAACCAGAAAGCCACGGCUAACUACGUGCCAGCAGCCGCGGUAAUACGUAGGUGGCAAGCGUUGUCCGGAAUUAUUGGGCGUAAAGCGCGCGCAGGCGGUUUCUUAAGUCUGAUGUGAAAGCCCCCGGCUCAACCGGGGAGGGUCAUUGGAAACUGGGAAACUUGAGUGCAGAAGAGGAAGGUGGAAUUCCAAGUGUAGCGGUGAAAUGCGUAGAGAUUUGGAGGAACACCAGUGGCGAAGGCGACUUUCUGGUCUGUAACUGACGCUGAGGCGCGAAAGCGUGGGGAGCAAACAGGAUUAGAUACCCUGGUAGUCCACGCUGUAAACGAUGAGUGCUAAGUGUUAGAGGGUUUCCGCCCUUUAGUGCUGAAGUUAACGCAUUAAGCACUCCGCCUGGGGAGUACGGUCGCAAAGACAGAACACAANAGAAGUAGUACGGCGUGAGACGUGCCGACGGACGACGACGAGGGAGGUUAGG
rnacentral:rRNA from 1 species